rnacentral:rRNA from 1 species
GAGGGGGGGGGGGGGGGGCGGAAGGGGGGGGGGGGGCCGGGGGGGGGGGGGAGGGGGGGAAGGGGGGGGGCGGGGGGGGGGGGGGAAGGGGGGGGUGCAAAGGGGGCCGGGAGGGGGGGAAAGGGGGGGGGGGGGGGGUCGGGGGGCGGGGGGGGGGUAGGGGGGGGGUUGGGGGGGGGGGGGGAAAUGGGGGCCGGGACCCCGCCCCCCUUCCGGUGGUUGGUUAAAAGUUUGGUGAAACGCGGGCGGGCCCCCGCGGGGCCCCUCCCUUGUCCCCGCCCUUAAGGCUCCCUGUGACGCCCCUCGCCAAAUUCCCCAGGGCUUCAAACGCUAAGAACCCUUCAAAGGCCUUCCCUUUUAAAGGAGGGGCGCACAGGGAUCACCCCCGGCACACCCUCCCCUCAAGGGGGUGGUUACCUUUGGAAAACAGUUUUUAACCCCCAUAAAACCUUUUCGCUCCCCAAACAUAAAUUUAAAAGGGCUCUCCCGCCCACCAAAAGAAGAGGUUCCCGGGGUCCUUUAUGGUGGGGUGUGAGGGUAACGCCUCCCCCAAAGCCAAUUGUCCCAACCCGGGUUUGGAAGCUUUUCCGCCCCCAUUGGGGAAUGGACCCCGCCCCCAAUUUCCUGGGGGGAGGCCCCAGUAGGGAUUUUUCCCCAAGGGGGGGAAGCUUGAUGGACCACCCCCCGUUGUUUGAAGAAGGCUUUCGGGUUGGUAAACCCUUUUUUGUAGGGAAGAACCGCUUUAAUAGGAAAUGUUUUAAGUUGGCCGGUACCUUCCCAGAAAGGGACGGCUAAAUACGUGCCAGCAGCCGCGGUAAUACGUAUGUCCCGAGCGUUAUCCGGAUUUAUUGGGCGUAAAGCGAGCGCAGACGGUUUAUUAAGUCUGAAGUGAAAGCCCGGAGGUCAAAUUCGGGAAUGGCAUUGGAAACUGGUUAACUUGAGUGCAGUAGAGGUAAGUGGAACUCCAUGUGUAGCGGUGGAAUGCGUAGAUAUAUGGAAGAACCCCAGUGGCGAAGGCGGCUUACUGGACUGCAACUGACGUUGAGGCUUGAAAGUGUGGGUAGCAAACCGGAUUAGAUACCCUGGUAGUCCACCCCGUAAACGAUGAACACUAGGUGUUAGGAGGUUUCCGCCUCUUAGUGCCGAAGCUAACGCCUUAAGUCUUCCGCCUGGGGAGUACGACCGCAAGGUUGAAACUCAAAGGAAUUGACGGGGACCCGCCCCAGCGGUGGAGCAUGUGGUUUAAUUUGAAGCAACGCGAAGAACCUUACCCGGUCUUGACCUCCUUUGAAGCUUUUAGAGAUAGAAGUGUUCUCUUCGGAGACAAAGUGACAGGUGGUGCAUGGUCGUCGUCAGCUCGUGUCGUGAGAUGUUGGGUUAAGUCCCGCAACGAGCGCAACCCUUAUUGUUAGUUGCCAGCAUUCAGAUGGGCACUCUAGCGGACUGCCGGUGACAAACCGGAGGAAGGCGGGGACGACGUCAGAUCAUCAUGCCCCUUAUGACCUGGGCUACACACGUGCUACAAUGGCGUAUACAACGAGCAGCCAACCCGCGAGGGUGAGCUAAUCUCUUAAAGUACGUCUCAGUUCGGAUUGUAGUCUGCAACUCGCCUACAUGAAGUCGGAAUCGCUAGUAAUCGCGGAUCAGCACGCCGCGGUGAAUACGUUCCCGGGUCUUGUACACACCGCCCGUCACACCAUGGGAGUUUGUAACGCCCAAAGCCGGUGGCCUAACCUUUUAGGAAGGAGCCGUCUAAGGCAGGACAGAUGACUGGGGGAAGUCGAACCAAAGUGGCAGG